UCAACUCACUCUGUCUGUCUGUCUGGUAAAAUGUUUGAACAUGUUUUUUCUCCCAUUUCUCUGAUCAAGUUAAAACUUUGCACAAUUAUUCAUUGUACCUGACAAGACACGAAUCAAUAAAAAAAAAAGUUAAUUAAUUAUUGGUGAUUAUUUAUUUUGCUUGAUAUUGAAAUAAGGUGAAUAAAUCCUACUUUAUGCGAGAUGUUGAUGUAUAUUGAAUUAAUCCCCUUAUUACCGGUAUGUUUUGACAAGUUUUUUUCUCCCACUUCCCAUUCUGGGAUCAAAGUGAAAUUUUGCUGAAUUAUUUAGGCGAUGACAAUACACAGAUCAAUAAAAAAAAUUUACCAAUUAGUUAAUCAAUUAGUAUUAACUAAUUAAUUUUGUUUUAUUUUGCAGGAAGGGAACUAAAC